UACGGGGGGGGCAAGCGUUGUUCGGAAUUACUGGGCGUAAAGGGCUCGUAGGCGGCCAACUAAGUCAGACGUGAAAUCCCUCGGCUUAACCGGGGAACUGCGUCUGAUACUGGAUGGCUUGAGUUUGGGAGAGGAAUGCGGAAUUCCAGGUGUAGCGGUGAAAUGCGUAGAUAUCUGGAGGAACACCGGUGGCGAAGGCGGCUACCUGGACAGAAACUGACGCUGAGGCGCGAAAGCUAGGGGAGCGAACGGG
rnacentral:rRNA from 1 species